rnacentral:siRNA from 1 species
UCACCACCCAUAUUCUGAGUCCU